CUUGAGUUGUCUCUCAUGUCUAGACCAUUUGUGAGAAGGGAGUUUUUGUUUGCACCAAUACCCACCAAUCUCUAAAUUUGUAAGAAGUAUUAUGCUCAAUUAAGGAAAAUAGUAGUUCAACAUACCACACUACCCUUUUAAGUAGUAUCAUCCUAUAUGUUAUAUGCUACCUUAGCUAAAUUUUGCGUUCUCAUGGUGCUGCAGUAGGGUUAGUUUCUUGUGUACCUCUAGAUAUACAUUCUCUUGCUGCGUAGGGUUCCCAAGCUGUCAAAACUAGUGAUCAGUUCCCCUUGAUAUUCUGAUCCUUCAGAAGUUAGGUAUAGAAGUAAGUCGAUUAAGUUCAUUCAUGACUUUUCCAGAUGUUGCAUACAUAACUUUUUUUCAUUUGUAUUCGAACUAGUCCAAGCCGAUUCUCAAAAUCAUAUAAAAUCAUUUACACCUUGGUCAUGGUAGCUAAGAAUAUUGUAUCUAAAAUUGGGGAGUGGGGAGAUGUUUGGUUAUAUUCCCUUCUCAUCGAUGGUCUAGAUGUGCGAGGUGACUUUCAUGAACA
rnacentral:pre_miRNA from 14 species